GUGGUGAAAUUUGAGAGAUCUUUGAUGAGGUAAGGGAAGGUGAUCGUGUGACAUGUUUAUUUAGGUAUAUAUAUAAAAAAUGGAUUAUGAAUUUAUGUUUCUUUAGUGGGUAAAUAGGAUAAGGUCAUCGAUGACAUUUGUUAAACAAGAAAGUGUUAAAUCUGUUAAUAAAUAAAAAAUAUUUAUAUCAUCAUUGAUAAUUUUAAUAAAGUAACACAGAAUUAUUUGCAAGUGUCACGGGAGAUUCAAAAAGGUAACUAAAAAAAAUAAUCUAAACUUUGGUUGGUGAACAAAUCCCAGAGAAGAAAAAAAACACGAAAGGGGUGGAAGCAAAUUAUGAGGAAAAAACUUAUACGCAUCGAUUUGAUUUAUUCUUGAACUGAUUGGGUAGAAAGAAAGAGAUUUAUGGUGUCAAAGUUUUCCGACGAACAAACUAAGAUGGCAAUCUGAAAGUUGUAACUGAUUGAUUGAAAUUUUAUGGAGAAAGAAAGACAUUGACGACAUAAAUUUGGAGAAAAAUGAGGUGGUGUUGAUGGUGGAUGGUUGGGGUGAUGAGGGGGGGAAGAGGACGAUGGAGAAAGAACGGAAAGGAGAAGAAUGGGUAAAGUGACGAGAGGCCCGGUAAGAAUCAAGGUGGUGCGAAGAAGAAGAAUGACUGCAACGAAAUGAACUUUAAUGGUGGCGAUACCAACGAUUGCCGGAAAGGUGAUGGCAACGGUGGUUAAGUCAAAGAAGAAGAAGAGAUGAUAAUUUAAUUUAAAAAAAGAUAAAUCUUAUUAUGCCCUUUCACUGUGUAUUACACACAUAUUGUCAUGUCAGCAUAAAAUGUUUAAUAAUUAAAAUUUCUUACAGUUUAGGUGUUCAA